rnacentral:rRNA from 1 species
CAGCAGCCGCGGUAAUACGUAGGUGGCAAGCGUUGUCCGGAAUUAUUGGGCGUAAAGGGCUCGCAGGCGGUUUCUUAAGUCUGAUGUGAAAGCCCCCGGCUCAACCGGGGAGGGUCAUUGGAAACUGGGAAACUUGAGUGCAGAAGAGGAGAGUGGAAUUCCACGUGUAGCGGUGAAAUGCGUAGAGAUGUGGAGGAACACCAGAGGCAAAGGCGACUCUCUGGUCUGUAACUGACGCUGAGGAGCGAAAGCGUGGGGAGCGAACAGGAUUAGAGACCCCGGUAGUCCCUGUCUCUUAUAC